rnacentral:rRNA from 1 species
UACGGAGGGUGCAAGCGUUGUUCGGAAUUACUGGGCGUAAAGAGCGUGUAGGCGGCUUGGUAAGUCGGAUGUGAAAGCCCUGAGCUCAACUCAGGAAGUGCAUUUGAAACUGCCAUGCUUGAGUAUGGGAGAGGAGAGUGGAAUUCCCAGUGUAGAGGUGAAAUUCGUAGAUAUUGGGAGGAACACCCGUGGCGAAGGCGACUCUCUGGACCAAUACUGACGCUGAGACGCGAAAGCGUGGGGAGCAAACAGG